GAUGAACGCUGGCGGCGUGCCUAAUACAUGCAAGUCGAGCGAACAGACGAGGAGCUUGCUCCUUUGACGUUAGCGGCGGACGGGUGAGUAACACGUAGGUAACCGACCUAUAAGACUGGGAUAACUUCGGGAAACCGGAGCUAAUACCGGAUAAUAUUUCGAACCGCAUGGUUCGAUAGUGAAAGAUGGCUUUGCUAUCACUUAUAGAUGGACCUGCGCCGUAUUAGCUAGUUGGUAAGGUAACGGCUUACCAAGGCAACGAUACGUAGCCGACCUGAGAGGGUGAUCGGACACACUGGAACUGAGACACGGUCCAGACUCCUACGGGAGGCAGCAGUAGGGAAUCCUCCGCAAUGGGCGAAAGCCUGACGGAGCAACGCCGCGUGAGUGAUGAAGGUCUUAGGAUCGUAAAACUAUGUUAUUAGGGAAGAACAAACGUGUAAGUAACUGUGCACGUCUUGACGGUACCUAAUCAGAAAGCCACGGCUAACUACGUG
rnacentral:rRNA from 1 species